CCUCAAGCUUGCUUGGGGUACUCGAGUGGCGAACGGGUGAGUAAUACGUGGGUAACCUGCCCUCUUCUUUGGGAUAAGCCCCGGAAACGGGGUCUAAUACCGGAUAUUCUGCUUCUGCCGCAUGGUGGGGGUUGGAAAGGUUUUUCGGUGGGGGAUGGGCCCGCGGCCUAUCAGCUUGUUGGUGGGGUGAUGGCCUACCAAGGCUUCGACGGGUAGCCGGCCUGAGAGGGUGACCGGCCACAUUGGGACUGAGAUACGGCCCAGACUCCUACGGGAGGCAGCAGGG
rnacentral:rRNA from 1 species